rnacentral:rRNA from 1 species
ACCCUUUAAUGUUUGAUGUUCUAACGUGGGCCCCUGAACGGGGUUGCGGACAGUGUCUGGUGGGUAGUUUGACUGGGGCGGUCUCCUCCCAAAGAGUAACGGAGGAGCACGAAGGUUAGCUAAUCCUGGUCGGACAUCAGGAGGUUAGUGCAAAGGCAUAAGCUAGCUUGACUGCGAGAGUGACGGCUCGAGCAGGUGCGAAAGCAGGUCUUAGUGAUCCGGUGGUUCUGAAUGGAAGGGCCAUCGCUCAACGGAUAAAAGGUACUCCGGGGAUAACAGGCUGAUACCGCCCAAGAGUUCAUAUCGACGGCGGUGUUUGGCACCUCGAUGUCGGCUCAUCACAUCCUGGGGCUGAAGUAGGUCCCAAGGGUACGGCUGUUCGCCGUUUAAAGUGGUACGCGAGCUGGGUUUAGAACGUCGUGAGACAGUUCGGUCCCUAUCUGCCGUGGGCGUUGGAAGAUUGAGGGGGGUUGCUCCUAGUACGAGAGGACCGGAGUGAACGCACCACUGGUGUUCGGGUUGUGAUGCCAAUUGCAUUGCCCGGUAGCUAAGUGCGGAAGAGAUAACCGCUGAAAGCAUCUAAGCGGGAAACUUGCCCCGAGAUGAGUCUUCCCUGGGACUUCGAGUCCCCUGAAGGGCCGUUGAAGACGACGACGUAGAUAGGCUGGGUGUGUAAGCGUAGCGAUACGUUGAGCUAACCAGUACUAAUGACCCGAGAGGCUUAACCUUACAACACCGAAGGUGUUUUAG